rnacentral:RNase_P_RNA from 1 species
AGAGCUGGUCGGGCAACUACGCUUUCAAGCCUUGUUGCAAAAGGUUUGGAGUGAGGAAAGUCCGGGCUCCACAGGACGCCGCACAGGUUAACGACCUGGCAUCGCGAGAUGACGGAAAGUGCAACAGAAAGUAUGUACGGUCCGCCGUAGCUUUAGCGAAGGCGGAUGCUGUAGUGAAAUCCGGUAAACCCUGCGGGGAGCAAGAUCAAGUAAACCGUACCCCUAAAACCCAUUGGUCCGAUGGGGUUCCUGAAAAGGACGGUACGGAGGGUUGAUCGCUAGAGGCGUUUGGUAACAAACGUCCCAGAGGAAUGGUUGCCGAAGACAGAACCCGGCUUAUAGACCAGCUCUUAUU